AUUGAACGCUGGCGGCAGGCUUAACACAUGCAAGUCGAGCGGGGUGAUGGUGCUUGCACUAUCACUUAGCGGCGGACGGGUGAGUAAUGCUUAGGAAUCUGCCUAUUAGUGGGGGACAACAUCUCGAAAGGGAUGCUAAUACCGCAUACGUCCUACGGGAGAAAGCAGGGGAUCUUUAUGACCUUGCGCUAAUAGAUGAGCCUAAGUCGGAUUAGCUAGUUGGUGGGGUAAAGGCCUACCAAGGCGACGAUCUGUAGCGGGUCUGAGAGGAUGAUCCGCCAAACUGGGACUGAGAAACGGCCCAGACUCCUACGGGAGGCAGCAGUGGGGAAUAUUGGACAAUGGGGGGAACCCUGAUCCAGCCAUGCCGCGUGUGUGAAGAAGGCCUUAUGGUUGUAAAGCACUUUAAGCGAGGAGGAGGCUCUUUUGGUUAAUACCCAGAAUGAGUGGACGUUACUCGCAGAAUAAGCACCGGCUAACUCUGUGCCAGCCGCCGCAGUAA
rnacentral:rRNA from 1 species